rnacentral:rRNA from 1 species
GAUGAACGCUAGCGGCAGGCUUAACACAUGCAAGUCGAACGGUAACAUUCCCGCUUGCGGGAGAUGACGAGUGGCGCACGGGUGCGUAACGCGUAUGCAACCUACCUUUAACAGAGGGAUAGCCCAGAGAAAUUUGGAUUAAUACCUCAUAAUAUUUCUACUACACAUGUAGUGGUUCUUAAAGAUUUAUCGGUUAAAGAUGGGCAUGCGUGACAUUAGCUAGAUGGUGAGGUAACGGCUCACCAUGGCGACGAUGUCUAGGGGUUCUGAGAGGAAGAUCCCCCACACUGGUACUGAGACACGGACCAGACUCCUACGGGAGCAGCAGUGAGGAUAUUGGUCAAUGGACGCAAGUCUGAACCAGCCAUGCCGCGUGAAGGAUGACUGCCCCUAUGGGUUUUAAACUUCUUUUAUAUAGGAAGAAACCUCUCUACGUGUAGAGAGCUGACGGUACUAUACGAAU